GAUGAACGUUGGCGGCGUGCCUAAUACAUGCAAGUCGAACGAAGACUGUAGUAAUACUGUCUUAGUGGCGAACGGGUGAGUAACGCGUGGGUGACCUGCCCCGAAGUGUGGGAUAACAGUUCGAAAGGAUUGCUAAUACUGCAUAAUAUCCAAGAGAUUAGACGCUUUUGGAUUAAAGGAGUAAUUCGCGUUCGGGAGGGGCCCGCGUCCCAUCAGCUAGUUGGUAAGGUAAUGGCUUACCAAGGCGAUGACGGGUAGGGGACCUGAGAGGGUGGCCCCCCCACAAUGGAACUGAAACACGGUCCAUACACCUACGGGUGGCAGCAGUAGGGAAUAUUAGUAAUGGGCGAAAGCCUGAACUAGCAACGCCGCGUGUGCGAAGAAGGCCUUCGGGUUGUAAAGCACUUUUUGAGAGGAUGAGGAAGGACGGUACUCUCAGAAUAAGUCUCGGCUAACUACGUG
rnacentral:rRNA from 1 species